rnacentral:rRNA from 1 species
UACGUAGGGUGCAAGCGUUGUCCGGAAUUAUUGGGCGUAAAGAGCUCGUAGGCGGUCUGUCGCGUCGGCUGUGAAAACCCGGAGCUCAACUCCGGGCCUGCAGUCGAUACGGGCAGACUGGAGUUCGGCAGGGGAGACUGGAAUUCCUGGUGUAGCGGUGAAAUGCGUAGAUAUCAGGAGGAACACCGGUGGCGAAGGCGGGUCUCUGGGCCGAUACUGACGCUGAGGAGCGAAAGCGUGGGGAGCGAACAGG